UACCAGCACCCCGAGUGGUCGGGACGAUUAUUGGGCCUAAAGCAUCCGUAGCCGGUCAUGCAAGUCUUCCGUUAAAUCCAGCCGCUCAACGGUUGGGCUGCGGAGGAUACUACGUGGCUAGGAGGCGGGAGAGGCAAGCGGUACUCAGUGGGUAGGGGUAAAAUCCUUUGAUCCAUUGAAGACCACCAGUGGCGAAGGCGGCUUGCCAGAACGCGCUCGACGUGAGGGAUGAAAGCUGGGGGAGCAAAGCCGG
rnacentral:rRNA from 1 species